UACGGAGGGGGGCUAGCGUUGUUCGGAAUUACUGGGCGUAAAGCGCACGUAGGCGGCUUUGUAAGUUAGAGGUGAAAGCCCGGGGCUCAACUCCGGAAUUGCCUUUAAGACUGCAUCGCUAGAAUUGUGGAGAGGUAAGUGGAAUUCCGAGUGUAGAGGUGAAAUUCGUAGAUAUUCGGAAGAACACCAGUGGCGAAGGCGACUUACUGGACACAUAUUGACGCUGAGGUGGCGAAAAGCGUUGGGGAGCAAACAGG
rnacentral:rRNA from 1 species